UUGCUUCAUACUGAUAGAAACCUGA
rnacentral:piRNA from 1 species